UCGCACCCAACGUGGGGCUUUAGAAUGGAGGAUCCAGUGAGGGAUGCUGUUUGGAAGGCCGGCACAAAGACAGGAUGGAGAAAAACGUGAAAACAGAGGAAAAGACUACACAGGAGCCUGCUGCAUUUUCUAAACUUCGGUGAGUGAACAGCGAUUAUGGGGCAAGAAAUUAGCCAACAUGAGAUGUUUAUUGAAAGUUUAGGAAAGGCUCUAAAGGCACAAGGAGUAAAGGUUAAAAUUAAGCAACUGUGUCAAUAUUUUGAUUUUAUUAAGAAAGUCUGUCCUU
rfam:Cavia porcellus supercont2_15 genomic scaffold, whole genome shotgun sequence.